GAUGAACGCUAGCGGCAGGCUUAAUACAUGCAAGUUGAGGGGCAGCAUGAUAUACGCGAGUAUAUUGAUGGCGACCGGCGGACGGGUGAGUAAUAGGUAGGAGACCUACCUCAUACAGGGGGAUAGCAUAGAGAAAUCUGUGGUAAUACCCCAUGAGGUUAUAUGAAUAGAGGCAUAUAAUCAAAGCAUAAGCGAUUAUGCGGUAUGAGAGGGGCCUACUGACCAUUAGCUAGUUGGUGAGGUAAGGGCUCACCAAGGCGAAGAUGGUUAGGGGUUUUGAGAGAGAGACCCCCCACAUUGGAACUGAGAGACGGUCCAGACUCCUACGGGAGGCAGCAGUAGGGAAUAUUGGGCAAUGGGCGAAAGCCUGACCCAGCCAUGCCGCGUGAAGGAAGACGGCCUUAUGGGUUGUAAACUUCUUUACUACGCGAAUAGAGGUUAGUACGAGAUACUAAUAGGAAGGUAGUGUAGUAAAAGCAACGGCUAACUCCGUGCC
rnacentral:rRNA from 1 species